rnacentral:lncRNA from 1 species
AGUUUCUUUACCUAGGAGUUCCUUAUAUCAAAGAAGUCACCUAUUCUUAGAAUGAAGACUCCAAGUUCAACAUUGCUACAUCUAGCUUCUUCAAUAACCAAAGCCUACUAGCAACUGGUGAGAUUUUUCAAUAUCUCCUCAGGGAUCACUGAUGAUGGCUCAGAAAUCACAUCUACCAGUUCUUUUGGUUGUUCAUCUAGGCCAGGUGACUUGAAUUCACCAAGAACUUUCCUGCCUCCUAACUUAUCUUGGGUUGCUGAGUUUUACGGCAAAAAUUAUUUCUUUUGAUUCAAAGAAGCCUCUCUUUGAAACAACUGUCAUUCUCUAGCUGAUAAAACAGGAACUUCCAGGUGCAUAGCUAAUUUAAUUCAAAGGCCAUACAUGAGAUGCCAUUUCACUUCCCUGAACUUUGAAAAAAAACAGGGUCUGCUAAAAAAAAAAAAUUCUAUUUAAAUUUACAUUCCCUUCUAAAGGAAUUUCCUCUGACUAGGAUUGAGUACAGUGGCAGGCAACCAAAGGACACUCAGGAAAUGCUU